rnacentral:tRNA from 1 species
AACUAGAGAGCUUGUAACAGCACUUGACUUUUAAUCAAGAGAAAAUAUAAAUUAUUUCUAGUUA